rnacentral:tRNA from 1 species
GCCUUCGUGGUGUAACGGUAGCACACUCGGCUCGUUCUCGAGAGGUCCAGGUUUAAGUCCCGGUGAGGGCA